rnacentral:rRNA from 1 species
ACCUGAGCGUCAGUCUUUGUCCAGGGGGCCGCCUUCGCCACCGGUAUUCCUCCAGAUCUCUACGCAUUUCACCGCUACACCUGGAAUUCUACCCCCCUCUACAAGACUCAAGCUUGCCAGUUUCAAAUGCAGUUCCCAGGUUGAGCCCGGGGAUUUCACAUCUGACUUAACAAACCGCCUGCGUGCGCUUUACGCCCAGUAAUUCCGAUUAACGCUUGCACCCUCCGUAUUACCGCGGCUGCUGGCACGGAGUUAGCCGGUGCUUCUUCUGCGAGUAACGUCAAUCGCUAAGGUUAUUAACCUUAACGCCUUCCUCCUCGCUGAAAGUACUUUACAACCCGAAGGCCUUCUUCAUACACGCGGCAUGGCUGCAUCAGGCUUGCGCCCAUUGUGCAAUAUUCCCCACUGCUGCCUCCCGUAGGAGUCUGGACCGUGUCUCAGUUCCAGUGUGGCUGGUCAUCCUCUCAGACCAGCUAGGGAUCGUCGCCUAGGUGAGCCAUUACCCCACCUACUAGCUAAUCCCAUCUGGGCACAUCUGAUGGCAUGAGGCCCGAAGGUCCCCCACUUUGGUCUUGCGACGUUAUGCGGUAUUAGCUACCGUUUCCAGUAGUUAUCCCCCUCCAUCAGGCAGUUUCCCAGACAUUACUCACCCGUCCGCCGCUCGUCACCCGAGAGCAAGCUCUCUGUGCUACCGCUCGACUUGCAUGUGUUA